rnacentral:rRNA from 1 species
UACGUAGGGUGCAAGCGUUGUCCGGAAUUAUUGGGCAUAAAGAGCUCGUAGGCGGUUUGUCACGUCUGCUGUGAAAUCCCGAGGCUCAACCUCGGGCCUGCAGUGGGUACGGGCAGACUGGAGUGCGGUAGGGGAGAAUGGAAUUCCUGGUGUAGCGGUGGAAUGCGCAGAUAUCAGGAGGAACACCGAUGGCGAAGGCAGUUCUCUGGGCCGUAACUGACGCUGAGGAGCGAAAGCGUGGGGAGCGAACAGG